GCGACCCCAGGAUGGGCGGGGUGACCCGCUGAGUUUAAGCAUAUCAAUAAGCGGAGGAAAAGAAACU
rnacentral:rRNA from 1 species